AAAACUCAAAAGGAAUUUGACGGGGGGUCCCGCACAAACGGGCGGGGGCAUGCGGAUUAAUCUAGAUGCAACGCGAAGAACCUUUACCUGGGUUUGACAUACACCCCGCCCCUCCAGAGAUGGAGCUUCUUUUGGGAGUGUACAGGUGGUGCAUGCCUGUCGUCCGCUCGUGUCGUGAGAUGUUGGCUUAAGUCACGCAACGAGCGCAAACCUUGUCACAUGUUGCCAGCACGGCCUUCGGGGUGGUGGGGACUCAUGUGAGUCUGCCGGGGUCAACUCGGAGGAAGGUGGGGAUGACGUCAAGUCAUCAUGCCCCUUAUGUCCAGGGCUUCACGCAUGCUACAAUGGCCGGUACAGAGGGCUGCGAUCCCGUGAGCGGGAGCGAAUCCCAAAAAGCCGGUCUCAGUUCGGAUUGGGGUCUGCAACUCGACCCCAUGAAGUCGGAGUCGCUAGUAAUCGCAGAUCAGCAACGCUCCGGAGAAUACGUUCCCGGGCCUUGUCCCCCCGCCC
rnacentral:rRNA from 1 species